rnacentral:rRNA from 1 species
GAUGAACGCUGGCGGCGUGCUUAACACAUGCAAGUCGAGCGGACAGGCCAGGUGUUUCUUGUUGAGUCGUGAUCGUCGGAUGGCUGACGGACGCGUGGAAAACCUAUCAUCUAGCCUCAGCUUAGUUCUAAACCUGGGAGACUAUACCUGAUACCAUAUAGAACUGCAUGGUGCUAUCUGGAGUGACAGACUUGCUUCUAGUUAUAGAUGGUUACGCGCCGGAUUAGCAAGUUGGUGAGGUAAUGGGUUACUAAGGCGACGAUGCGUAGCCGACCUCAGAGGGUGAUCGGCCACACUGGAACUGAGACACGGUCCAGACUCCUACGGGAGGCAGCGGUAGGGAAUCUUCCGCAAUGGGCGAAAGCCUAACGGAGCAACACCGCGUGAGUGAUGAAGGUCUUCGGAUCGUAAAACUCUGUUAUUAGGGAAGAACAAAUGUCUAAGUAACUAUGCACGUCUUGACGGUACCUAAUCAAAAAGCCACGGCUAACUACGUG